rnacentral:rRNA from 1 species
CCCUACGGGGCGCAGCAGUGGGGAAUAUUGCACAAUGGGGGAAACCCUGAUGCAGCGACGCCGCGUGGGCGAGGAAGUACCUCGGUAUGUAAAGCCCUAUCAGCAGGGAAGAAACAGGACAGUACCUGACUAAGAAGCCCCGGCUAACUACGUGCCAGCAGCCGCGGUAAUACGUAGGGGGCAAGCGUUAUCCGGAUUUACUGGGUGUAAAGGGAGCGUAGACGGCAUAGCAAGUCUGAAGUGAAAGCCCGUGGCUCAACCGCGGAACUGCUUUGGAAACUGUUAAGCUGGAGUACUGGAGAGGC